rnacentral:rRNA from 1 species
UUGGAGGGCAGUCUGGUGCCAGCAGCCGCGGUAAUUCCAGCUCCAAUAGCGUAUAUUAAAGUUGUUGCAGUUAAAAAGCUCGUAGUUGAAUUUCGGGAUCAAAUUGUCGGUCGUGCCUCGGUACGCACUGGUAUUAUUGGUUCCUACCUUCUGAAGAACCGCGAUGUCAUUAAUUUGGUGUCGUGGGGAAUCAGGACUGUUACUUUGAAAAAAUUAGAGUGUUUAAAGCAGGCUUACGCUUGAAUACAUUAGCAUGGAAUAAUGAAAUAGGACGUUUGAUUCUAUUUUGUUGGUUUCUAGGAUUGACGUAAUGAUUAAUAGGGAUAGUUGGGGGCAUUAGUAUUCAAUUGUCAGAGGUGAAAUUCUUGGAUUUAUUGAAGACUAACUACUGCGAAAGCAUUUGCCAAGGAUGUUUUCAUUAAUCAAGAACGAAAGUUAGGGGAUCGAAGACGAUCAGAUACCGUCGUAGUCUUAACCAUAAACUAUGCCGACUAGGGAUCGGAUGAUGUUAAUUUUUUAAUGACUCAUUCGGCGCCUUACGGGAAAC